GUUUUGUUUUCAUUGCUAACAGCACCCAGAAGUCAGCCGGGAGCUCAGAGAUUAUGCACUGCCUUUUGGAAGAGCAUUGCCCAGCAAAGAGCACCUCAGCGUGCAAGGCAGCGGUGCAGCCGUCGUUGCUGCUCAACAGGCUGUGGCCUCGUCCUCCUACAGGAGGAAAACCAUCUCUCUGCUAAUGAGAAGAGAAAAACUGACAUUGCAGGAUGAGAGUGCACAGGGAACUGCAGCAACGAGGCACAGCAACAUUGCUUUGCUAAAUCAAAAACAGCAUCAAAAAAGAGAAGUGGACAAAACCACAACCUGUGCUGGUGAUACAGAUUUGGCUAGUGCCGGUCCGAGUGAGCCUGCAUUCCCAGCUGUACCUCCACUACCAGCAGCACCAGUACCUGGCACCUGCCACCUCUGUGCUUUGAAUUGAGCUCUCCACCUCAGCAGUGUCACUCUGGGAACAGGGGCACCCAGAGGCAGAUUUGGGCACAGCCCAUCAGAGACGCAGGUUUGGACUGCAGCACUACCAGAGCUCCCACUUGGCCUGUAGUGCCCAGGAGGACCUUGGUGCCCUGCAGCACCCGCCCAGGGCAGCAGAGCCCAGCACCUACUGGCCCUGGUCCCCAGGGUCCCCUUGCAUACUGGGACAAGCCAGUCAGUGCCCACGUCCCCAGCACAGCUGAACCAUGAGGCAGGAAGCAUCUCCCACUGGGCACAGAGGAGGAGGAGUGCUGGGAGGAAGGAGGGCUGACCCCACACAGCGCUGUGUGCCUGGGACAAGGUGCCAGAGAGUGCAUCAUUGUGGGAGAUACCCGGUGAACACCAAGACAGCUAAUUUUAGCAGGAACAAUCAACACUCACCAGAAGAUAUCUGGAAACUCAUCCCUGGAUUCUCAGUGCAAGAGCAAGCACAACAGAGGCAGUGCCUGACCUCACACCAGCACGAGCAGAAGGGCCGAAACCAUCCUGCUGGUGGCGUGGACAGGGCAGCAGAAGGGUGGCUUCUUCCCAGCUGCUGCCACCUUCUCCCUCCCCGCUCCCCCCAGCGUUGCCAGACAGCGCCGGCCAGGUACCCGAAAAUGAAGGUUUGUUCUGCCACCAAUAGGCAGGCGCAGCAACACCAAGGUUUCUGGACUGGUGUUUAUGCUUCUUUAAACCAAUGCAAACUUCAGCUGAAAAAGGACAACGUAGCCAGGUUAAAAUGA
rnacentral:lncRNA from 1 species